UACGUAGGGGGCAAGCGUUGUCCGGAAUCAUUGGGCGUAAAGCGCGCGUAGGCGCCCGAUCAGUCCGCUGUAAAAGUCCAGGGCUCAACCCUGGAAAGCCGGUGGAUACUGUCGGGCUAGAGUCCGGAAGAGGCGAGUGGAAUUCCUGGUGUAGCGGUGAAAUGCGUAGAUAUCAGGAGGAACACCGGUGGCGAAGGCGGCUCUCUGGACCACAACUGACGCUGAGGCGCGAAAGCUAGGGGAGCAAACAGG
rnacentral:rRNA from 1 species